AAUCAACACCUAGUUUCCCCUUGGGCCAUAAAAAUGCCUAAGGACCUGAAUCUGAAGAAGCGGUUUCUCUGUCAUUUAGCACCUAAAAGGCAUUAGCAAACUAUACCCCUCUAUAAAACAUGCACUUCUGAAUUAUUACCUUGGCUUGUGUCCAUCUUAUUAAACAGAAUGUAUGCUCCAACGACGCCCAUUAAUUCGGCUACUAACACUCCUUUAAAGACUUUCUUUGCCAGUGGUUCCAGAGGGCGGCCCAUCCUGAAGGGGAGAAACAAGAGCAGACGAGCUU